rnacentral:lncRNA from 1 species
AUAGGUCGGAAUAGUCCAGCUCGGACAACAUGACCUGAGAGCCCGGCCAGCUAACCCAGAGCUCAUUUCACUAAGCGAAAGACAGAGCUCUCAGGUCGGCUAGUCCAGCUCGGACAACGCACCCGAGAGCCCGGAUGAAGGGGACUCAAAGCUCAAUUCAUCUAAGCAGAGACCGAGCUCAUAGAUCGGUCAGACAGGUCGGCUAGUCCAGCUCGGACAACGCACCUGAGAGCCCGGAUGAAGGAGACUCAAAGCUCAAUUCAUCUAAGUAGAGACCGAGCUCAUAGAUCGGUCAGACAACCCAGUUUGGAAAUAUGAAAGCCCAGUUGGCUAAAUGGGUCCGAAGUCCGGCUCACGAGUACAGUUAGUUCAGCUCAGAAAAAACAAAUUUCAGUUAAAGCUACAAAGAAAAGCAGUUUCAGUACUUCAUCCAUGGUAGAGAAAGAACAACUCAAGUAUGAACGAAAACGAGAACUUCAUUAAAAGAAAAGCACAUUACAGCACGUUACAAAGGCCUACACUACGG